ACUUUUAAAGGAUGGUAGUUAUCCAUUGGCCUUAGGAGCCAAAAAAU
rnacentral:tRNA from 1 species